GACGAACCGUGCGAACGUUGUUCGGAAUCACUGGGCGUAAAGGGCGCGUAGGCGGCCUUCUAAGUCAUGCGUGAAAUCCCCGGGCUCAACCCGGGAACUGCGACUGAUACUGGAAGGCUUGAAUCCGGGAGAGGGAUGCGGAAUUCCAGGUGUAGCGGUGAAAUGCGUAGAUAUCUGGAGGAACACCGGUGGCGAAGGCGGCAUCCUGGACCGGUAUUGACGCUGAGGCGCGAAAGCCAGGGGAGCAAACGGG
rnacentral:rRNA from 1 species